GCCUGUUUAUCAAAAACAUCUUUUCUUGUUUAUUUAUUUGAGAUUUGACCUGCUCUAUGAUUUAUUUAAUGGCCGCGGUAAUUUGACCGUGCAAAGGUAGCAUAAUCAUUAGUCUAUUAAUUGUGGACUUGUAUGAAUGGUUGGACGAAAUAUUGACUGUCUCGUUAUUAAAUAUUUAAUUUAAAUUUUGAGUUAAAAUGCUUAAAUGUUUUUAUAGGACGAGAAGACCCUUUAGAUCUUAAAUUAUUUAUUUUUAAUUUUAUUUUAGUUAUUAUUUAUUUAUUAGGAUUAUUUAUUUUUUGUUGGGGUGACAUGGAGAUAUAAUUAACUCUUUAUAAUUUUGUACAAUUAUUUUUGUUUAUAUGACCUUUUAUUAAUGUUAUAAGAUUUAGAUACCUAA
rnacentral:rRNA from 1 species